UACGGAGGGUGCAAGCGUUAUCCGGAUUCACUGGGUUUAAAGGGUGCGUAGGCGGGCAUGUAAGUCAGUGGUGAAAUCUUCAGGCUUAACCUGAAAAUUGCCGUUGAUACUAUGUGUCUUGAAUAUCGUUGAGGUUUGCGGAAUAUGUCAUGUAGCGGUGAAAUGCUUAGAUAUGACAUAGAACACCAAGUUGCGAAGGCAGCAGGCUAAACGAACAUUGACGCUGAGGCACGAAGGCGUGGGGAUCAAACAGG
rnacentral:rRNA from 1 species